rnacentral:lncRNA from 1 species
UUAAAAGUGUACAAAAUCUGAUGAGUAUAUUUUAUGUUGAUAGAAUAUAUGCCAGAAGAACACAUGUGAUUGGCCCAGUUUUGUUUUUAUUACAAGAGUAGUUACAGGUGCAGAUUAAGUGUCCCCAGUUCUCUUCCUGCUAAGUGAGUUUGUUUAAGCAUCUUAAACACGUGGCAUGGAAGACCAGAAGAGAAGUGGAAUCCUCAGACCUCAAGCUUUUUGCAAGUGUUGGUGUCUGUCCAGUCCCUUAUAUUAGUAGCUGAGCCUUAUUUUAAUGAACCGGGAUAUGAACGGUCUAGAGGCACUCCCAGUGGCACACAGAGUUCUCGAGAAUAUGAUGGAAACAUUCGACAAGCAACAGUUAAGUGGGCAAUGCUAGAACAAAUCAGAAACCCUUCACCAUGUUUUAAAGAGGUAAUACACAAACAUUUUUACUUGAAAAGAGUUGAGAUAAUGGCCCAAUGUGAGGAGUGGAUUGCGGAUAUCCAGCAGUACAGCAGUGAUAAGCGGGUAGGCAGGACUAUGUCUCACCAUGCAGCAGCUCUCAA